rnacentral:tRNA from 1 species
AAACAAUUAGCAACACUAUGCAUAUCGGUUUCGGCCCGAUAAGAGCGGCCUCCGCGUUGUUUU